rnacentral:sRNA from 1 species
GUUGUGCUGGGCUGUCUCUCAGCUCUGUACACAGUUGGAGCUUUUGAAAAACAAGCUGAGGGCAGAAGGUGCAAGAGAUGGGAGUCUGUAGACGGUCCUUAUGGGAUCAGCUUCGACAGCUGUGCUGAGGCCCUGCUAGCCCGCCUGGGUCUCUCCGGAGCAGACCUCACUCAAGUGGAACUAAGCCAUGGGGGGUGUGGGCCCUGAGGCCAGGCGUGGUGCUGGUGCUGCGUGCAGGGCUCACACCAGCAGAUACCCCCGCCGACCCCCCGCCUCUGUGUUUCCAGCCACCGGCUCCUUCCAGGCUGCGCCUGAGGGAGCUGGUUCACAUGGGCCCUCACGACUCCAAGGGGCAGCUUGGAGAGCGGGUGGACAGGCCUCCCAGGCCGAGGCUCUCCUGUCGCCAGGGUCCCUGUAAUUUACGCAGGACCCUUCUGGGGGUGACUGGGCACGUGAACAGCUCCACAGAGCAUGCUCCAAGCACCCAGCUCUCCUCUGCUGGCAAGUUGGCACAGGUGCUGGCUGUCACCUGGCCUGUCACAGGGACAGUGACGUCCCCAUCACUAUGCCCAAAUAUGCAGGUGUGAAUGCCUCCCUCUGCCUUUCCCAGCCAGGGUGUCGGCGCCGAGCUGAUGGGGCUGCAGGUGGACUACUGGACGGCAGCACAGCCCGCGGACAGGAAGAGGGACGCCGAGAAGAAGGACCUGCCUGUCACCAAAAACACGCUCAAGUGCACUUUCCGGUCCCUCCAGGUCAGCAGGCUGCCCAGCAGCGGCGAGGCUGCGGCCACGCCCACCAUGUCCAUGACCGUGGUCACCAAGGAGAAGAACAAGAAGGUGAUGUUUCUGCCCAAGAAAGCGAAGGACAAGGACGUGGAGUCUAAGAGCCAGUGCAUUGAGGGCAUCAGCCGGCUCAUCUGCACUGCCAGGCAGCAGCAGAACAUGCUGCGGGGUGAGCAUCACGGGCCCUGGGGUCUGUAGAGUGGGACGUAGGUGAGAGCACAGCAACGCUGCUUUUGGAGCCCACCAUAGGAGCUGCGGGUGUCUUGCUGUGACACGCACAUUCCACGAUUCAAGGUGCAAGCACAUUCGAUGAAGCCCUCAGUGAGGCUGACAACCUUCCAAAUGCUGAGAAAGAAUUUUUUUUCAACCCUUUUUGCU